rnacentral:tRNA from 3 species
GGAGAAAUGGCAGAGUGGUCGAAUGCACCAGUCUUGAAAACUGGCGAGGGUCACACCUCCGGGGGUUCGAAUCCCUCUUUCUCCGCCA